ACCUGGCUGGCUCAGUUAGAGGAGCACAUGGCUUUUGAUCUUGGAGUUGUGGGUUUGAGUCCCACAGUGGGUG
rnacentral:tRNA from 1 species